rnacentral:lncRNA from 1 species
CAUGAGUUGUGUUUCUCCCCCUUGUAUAACUUGAAAGGUAAAAACUCAGACAACAGUGUGAGAAGUUGCAUGAUGAAUUAGACCAUUUCUAGAGUGACCUUGGACCUGUGUGACUGCUUAUGAGAAUGAAUGGAAGCAAAUGUAUUCAAAAUUUAUCCAAGGAGCAAGAAACCAUAUGCGUUUGUGCAGACUCUAUCACUUUCUUCUGAAGGAAAUCAAAUAUUGCAGUUUAUUUACUGGAUUUCCAUGAAUGGAAUGUCCAAAGUUCCUAAAAGAUUGAAAAAAAAUACCUUGCUGUAAGGAGCAGAGUGAAGCUAAUAACAGAGCAAACCACACUGCAGAGGUGAGGGCGUGCUAUCGAAUUUGCUCACAGAAUGAGCAAGGGACCAACUCACCCUGGGGUUUUGUGGGUUUAGCAGCAAAAGUCCUGAAUCCUAAGAAUCCUCCUACUCCAUGUAAUCAAUAAAUAAGAUGCAC